rnacentral:misc_RNA from 1 species
GAUGAAGAACGUAGCGAAAUGCGAUACGUAAUGUGAAUUGCAGAAUUCAGUGAAUCAUCGAGUCUUUGAACGCACAUUGCGCCCCCUGGUAUUCCGGGGGGCAUGCCUGUCCGAGCGUCAUUGCUGCCCUCAAGCACGGCUUGUGUGUUGGGCCUCCGUCCUCCUCCCGGGGGACGGGCCCGAAAGGCAGCGGCGGCACCGCGUCCGGUCCUCGAGCGUAUGGGGCUUCGUCACCCGCUCUUGUAGGCCCGGCCGGCGCUUGCCGACACAUCAAUCUUUUUUCCAGGUUGACCUCGGAUCAGGUAGGGAUACCCGCUGAACUUAAGCAUAUCAAUAAGAGGA